GUGACAGUGCAGACGGGAGCCCCUGGGGGACCCCCCCAUAGUUCCUCCUUAGCCUCCUACCCUGGGGCUCUGACCCCGUCCUGGUGUGUCCCCCCCCCCCCAGGCAGUGACAGAGGCCAGGGCUCUGAUGUGUCUCUCUCGGCUUCUAAAGCGUGAGGCAGCUGCCUUGUGGGGACUGAGUGAUGGAAGAUGUGUUCACGCUCCCACUUCCUGACUUAAGAACCUCUGAUUGGGGGGGGCUGGGCCAGCCCUGCUCCCCACACUUUCCUGUCAGCAGAGGCAGGCUGGGUCCUCCCCAUCCCUGCCUUUACUCCCUGGGGCGCUGAGCUGCAACUUCCUGCUCCAUAUUGAAAUGAGUUUCGGGAUGUGACCUUGUUUGUUCAUUACUUCCCAAGAAUGGUGUGGGAUUAAUUAAAGGGGAAGAUCCUAAACUCUGAGAGGAAAUAAACUGAAGCACCAAGA